rnacentral:misc_RNA from 1 species
UCUCCGUAGGUGAACCUGCGGAGGGAUCAUUACCGAGUUCGUGCCCCCCAGCGGGGUAGAUCUCCCACCCCUGUGUAUUCUUACCUGUGUUGCUUUGGCAGGCCGCUGGGUUGCGGCCUGGCCACAGGCCUUUGGGCUGGUGCGUGCCUGCCAGAGACCCUUCAAACUCUGGUUUAUCUAGUGUUGUCUGAGUACCAUGCAAAUCGUUAAAAACUUUCAACAACGGAUCUCUUGGUUCUG